rnacentral:sRNA from 1 species
CAAAUCAGUGUGUGGCAGGUUAGCACUCAUUAGUAAUUUAGCUGAUACAAUCAACCUUCUAUCUCCCACUCACAUACUCUCCCACUUUUAUGAAAGUCCUGCUUCUCAUAAUUCUACUUCACAAUUAUACAAUCACUAAUAUUUUUCUGCUCUAUACUUUACUAUAUUACUAGGGGCAGCUUGCCCUUAUCACCCCCCUUCCGGGGGUGGGCAAACGACCACCUAAAUCCCAGGGGAUGAAGCCAUCUUCAAUUCCUUUAAUGGAUUUGAAAGCUUAGGUAUAACACUCUAGAGCAGGAGCUUCAUGGAACAUGCAGCUGGGGCAGGACGGAGCAGAAAGCCAUGCUCUUAGAUAUUACAUAUGUCAUCGAUAAAUAUAAUUGCCACAUAUAUAUCAUCGCUAGAUAUCAUUGAUAUAUCAUUGCUAGAUAUCAUGGCGGAUCUCGUUAGCAGAUCUCAUCAAUAGAUAUCAUGAAUGGAUAUCAUUCAUUCAGGC